rnacentral:rRNA from 1 species
CGGGGGGGCAAGCGUUGUUCGGAAUUACUGGGCGUAAAGGGCUUGUAGGCGGCCAACUAAGUCAAACGUGAAAUCCCUCGGCUUAACCGGGGAACUGCGCUUGAUACUGGAUGGCUUGAGAUUGGGAGAGGGAUGCGGAAUUCCAGGUGUAGCGGUGAAAUGCGUAGAUAUCUGGAGGAACACCGGUGGCGAAGGCGGCAUCCUGGACCAACACUGACGCUGAGGAGCGAAAGCCAGGGGAGCAAACGGGAUUAGAUACCCCGGUAGUCCUGGCCCUAAACGAUGAAUGCUUGGUGUGGCGGGUAUCGAUCCCUGCCGUGCCGAAGCUAACGCAUUAAGCAUUCCGCCUGGGGAGUACGGUCGCAAGGCUG